rnacentral:misc_RNA from 1 species
GAUGAAGAACGUAGCGAAAUGCGAUAAGUAGUGUGAAUUGCAGAAUUCAGUGAAUCAUCGAAUCUUUGAACGCACAUUGCGCCUCUUGGUACUCCAUGGGGCAUGCCUGUUCGAGCGUCAUUUGUACCUUCAAGCUUUGCUUGGUGUUGGGUGUUUGUCUCGCCUUUGCGUGUAGACUCGCCUUAAAAUAAUUGGCAGCCGGCGUAUUGAUUUCGGAGCGCAGUACAUCUCGCGCUUUGCACUCAUAACGACAGCGUCCAAAAGUACAUUUUACACUCUUGACCUCGGAUCAGGUAGGGAUACCCGCUGAACUUAAGCAUAUCAAUAAGCGGAGGA